GAUGAACGCUAGCUACAGGCUUAACACAUGCAAGUCGCAGGACUGGCGCACGGGUGAGUAACGCGUAUCCAACCUUCCAAUCACUACGGGAUAACCCGGUGAAAGACGGCCUAAUACCGUCUGUUUAUGGAUGGGGAUGCGUCUGAUUAGCUUGUUGGCGUGGUAUCGGCCCACCAAGGCGACGUUCAGUAGGGGUUCUGAGAGGAAGUCCCCCCACAUUGGAACAGAGCCACGGCCCACACUCCGACGGGAGGCAGCAGUGAGGAAUAUUUGUCAAUGGGCGAUAGCCUGAACCAGCCAAGUAGCGUGCAGGAUGACGGCCUAUGGGUUGUAAACUGCUUUUAAGUGGGGAUAGGUACCACAUGAAUAAGGACCGGCUAAUUCCGUGCCAGCAGCCGCGGUAAUAC
rnacentral:rRNA from 1 species